UACGUAGGGGGCUAGCGUUGUCCGGAAUCAUUGGGCGUAAAGAGCGUGUAGGCGGCCCGGUAAGUCCGCUGUGAAAGUCGGGGGCUCAACCCUGGAAGGCCGGUGGAAACUGUCGGGCUAGAGUCCGGAAGAGGCGAGUGGAAUUCCCGGUGUAGCGGUAGAAAUGCGCAGAUAGUCGGGAGGAACACCAAUGGCGAAGGCAGCUCGCUGGGACGGUACUGACGCUGAGACGCGAAAGCGUGGGGAGCAAACAGG
rnacentral:rRNA from 1 species